rnacentral:lncRNA from 9 species
GUCAUGAAUUUAGUGAGUAGGAUGAUAUUUUAAGCACAGUGUUUUCAUCAACUAUUUUACAGCUCCAUCUUUCCCUGUUUCUAAUUUACUGCUGUGCCGAUCCGUGGCUGAAAUUUAAGGAGGCUGAUCCUCUCAAAAUUCUCUGCCGCUUUAUUAUUUGUGACUAGCUUCUCUUUCUAUAUAGCAGGCGAGUGAGGCGAUUAUUACCCAGCCUUUGGUGGAAAAGAUCCGCUUCUAGGAAGAGGCACCUGACUGACUGUCUGGUGAGGUCGUCAAACACUGGGCAGGAUUUUGCUGAGCAGAACGGCCCCUUCCAUUACAGAUCGUCUGGGGUCUCCAUGGCUGUUUCCAGCAGGCACUGCCCUGGGGGCAAGUAAAGCUGAGGCCUGUGGCCCCGUGAGGACUCAGAAGUCCUGAAGGAGGGUAGAGUCACAAGACUAAGGGGCAGACUGUCCCCCAACAAGCUACAUGGAUUUCAGGUGAGUGAAAAUACAUUUCUAAAUCACUGAGAGUUUGAGGUGAUUUGAUGUAGCAGAGGGCAUUAUACUAAUAGAACUGAUAUAUAAUUUAAAUAUUUCUACAUGAAAGCAAAUAGUCAGAUAAUAGCAUAUAAACUUUAUAUGAAUUGUUAAGUUAAAGGUGAGAUUUCAAAGAUGUGUUUUGGUUGUGGUAGGCUGAUGCCACCCUCCCUGGGUGCCCAGAGAGUGACCUAUUCGCUCUUCUCUGGUGCUGGGUAAAUUUGAUGGGAAAGCUUGACAGGGACCAGACAAAUUCAUGUAAUGGGAGAGGAAGCACUGUGGUCAUCCUUUAGACUGUAGAGUCUGUAGUAAGUGCUCACUUGAGGCAAGACUGAAGUAGGUGAAGUUAGAUUCUGACAACCUUUCUUUA